rnacentral:rRNA from 1 species
UACAGAGGGGGCAAGCGUUAUUCGGAAUCACUGGGCUUAAAGGGCGCGUAGGCGGCUUGGCAAGUGGAAGGUGAAAUCCCUCGGCUUAACCGAGGAACUGCCCUCCAAACUGCUUGGCUUGAGACCGGGAGAGGUGAGUGGAAUUCCCAGUGUAGCGGUGAAAUGCGUAGAUAUUGGGAGGAACACCAGUGGCGAAGGCGGCUCACUGGACCGGUACUGACGCUGAUGCGCGAAAGCGUGGGGAGCAAACGGG